rnacentral:rRNA from 1 species
AGUGAACGCUGGCGGUAGGCCUAACACAUGCAAGUCGAACGGCCGCACAGUAAGAGCUUGCUCUUACGGGUGGCGAGUGGCGGACUGGUGAGGAAUACAUCGGAAUCUCCUUUUUCGGGGGGGAUAACGUAGGGAAACUUACGCUAAUACCGCAUACGACCUAAGGGUGAAAGCAGGGGAUCUUCGGACCUUGCGCGGUUGAAUGAGCCGAUGUCGGAUUAGCUAGUUGGCGGGGUAAAGGACCACCAAGGCGACGGUCCGUAGCAGGUCUGACAGGGAGGUCAGCCACACUGGCUGUGAGGCACGGCCCAGACUCCUAGGGUAGGACACAGUGGGGAAUAUUGGACAAUGGGGGAAAGCCUGAUACAGCCAUACCGCGUGAGUGAAGAAGGCCUUCGGGUUGUAAAGCCCUUUUGUUGGGAAAGAAAAGCAGCAGGUUAAUACCCCGCUGUUCUGACGGUACCCAAAGAAUAAGCACCGGCUAACUUCGUG